UACGAAGGGGGCUAGCGUUGCUCGGAAUCACUGGGCGUAAAGGGUGCGUAGGCGGGUCUUUAAGUCAGGGGUGAAAUCCUGGAGCUCAACUCCAGAACUGCCUUUGAUACUGAGGAUCUUGAGUACGGGAGAGGUGAGUGGAACUCCGAGUGUAGAGGUGAAAUUCGUAGAUAUUCGGAAGAACACCAGUGGCGAAGGCGGCUCACUGGUCCGGUACUGACGCUGAGGUGCGAAAGCGUGGGGAGCAAACAGG
rnacentral:rRNA from 1 species